GAAACUGCGGAGGGAUCAUUA
rnacentral:rRNA from 1 species